CCUACGGGAGGCAGCAGUGGGGAAUAUUGCACAAUGGGGGAAACCCUGAUGCAGCGACGCCGCGUGAAGGAAGAAGGUCUUCGGAUCGUAAACUUCUAUCAGCAGGGAAGAAGAUAGUGACGGUACCUGACUAAGAAGCCCCGGCUAACUACGUGCCAGCAGCCGCGGUAAU
rnacentral:rRNA from 1 species